GGCUGAUGUGGUAUUGAACAGUGUAAAAACAUUAUGAGAUUUGGGCCAAAACCCAUAUCAAAGAAUUGGUGAUAUUGGGUGAUAUGGUUUACUGUAGCGGCCAUAUCAACCCAAACCAAAACCAUAUCAACCCUCAUUUAACUAUAGCGGUGAUAUCAAGUAUAAAAAUUCGCAUAUCAGAACUGGCCCAUUUUUCAGCCUCACUCUCUCUCUCUUCGCGCAGCUCCUUGGAGGCGAUUUCAGAGGCGAUAACUUCAUACACAAACUCUUCCACCACCGAUCUGGCAUAUCUCCUCCACCAGCUACCUCCUUCCAUUUUUGGUAUUGCUGGCCUUUCUUUUAUCUCGUUCGCCAAACUCAACCUUCUCUCUACUUCUCUCUAUUGACAGAACUCAAGCCCUAGUUUUCUAUUCGAUCCCUACUUCGACGAUGGAAUUAUCAAUAUAUCCCAGCCUCUCUCCAUCUCAUCUCAUAGAUAGAUUACGGAAGAUGAUUCAGACCGAAUCUCUCGCUCCACCUUCACUCACAGUCACUUCAUGGUCGGAUCGAAGCCCUAACCUGUGAAAAUGUUUUCCCUCUUUCCGUCAAACCUCUUGCAGUUGGCCAUCGGAGCAAACCCUAAGCCCUAAAGAAGAAACCCGAAGUCUGGAAUCCUCCAUUAGAGACGCGAAGAUGUGUUCGGCGAUUUACAGACGACCGCUGCUGCUAGAGUUAGGCCAGAGGAGUUCAAUUUUUGAAGAGGAUGUGUACAAACACGUUAGGGAUUUCAAUUUUGUUGAUGUAUUUACAAUGACUUUGAUGUUUCAAGGUAAGCCUCUGUUUCUUUGUUUCACUCUCUCUCUCUCUCAAGGUAAGCCCUAUUUCUUUGUGUCACUCUCUCUCUCUCUCUCACACACACACACACGUGACUUCUGAAAAUCGAGUGUCUUGCAUGGAUUAAAAUAAAAAAAAUCUGGUUUUGGGUUGAAGUCUUACAUUCUAUUCGUAUGUUGUUGGCUUGUUUACUCUAAAUCAAUUUAUUUGUAUUUGGGUUGCUGUUAUUUGAAAUGCUUAGUUGUGUUCCAUCAUAUGUUUAUAGAUGGCUGAUUUUGUUGAAUUCUUUGCUACUUUGGAUACAUGUCAGUGUAGAAAAAUAAAAUAAAAUAGGUCACCUUUGAUUUAUUUUAGAUGUUCUGUGAAAUCCAACUGUUAUUGCUGGGAAAAACCACUCUUUAUAUAUGAGUAUCUAUAUAUAUUAAAAUUUUCUGUGUUCUUCAAGGGGGGUUCUAUGUUUUAGAAAAAUAUUGAGUUUGCAGAAAUUUUUGCCACGGAAAUUGGAAUUUUUUCUAACUUAACUUCUAGAGUUUCAAGAUUAUUGGGUCUAACUUUAUACAAUCCUGAAGGCUCAUUUCUGGAGUGGUCAAGUAUAUUUGAAUUUUGUUGAUGUAUUUACAAUGACUUUAUACAAUUGUUUAAUUUGCCAAAUAGCAAGAUACAUGGCUUUAUUUUUAAUUUCACAUUUGACUGAGAUACCUUUCAAAUACUCAUUCAUUGCCAUUCUGAAGAUUGAUUAUAUAUAUAUAUAUAUAUGUAUAUCAUGAAUUAUAUUUGAAUAGUACAUCAUUCAACCUAAUAAAUCAAAUUUUAUUUCAUAUGUUUCAACAAUUGGGCCACCACCAAUCUGGAAAUGUCCAUUUUUUAAGGGGAAACCAUGCCGGAUUUUCGAAAAAAAAAAAUGAAUUUAAACUUUGAUUCCAAAAAGGCAUGUGGUUGAUUUUUGAAACUUGAAAUGGAUUUUUGAAAGAGUUUUGAAUAGUGGAUUUGAAUUGAAAAGAAAGAAAAUGUUAAAUUAUUUUAAGAAUCCAAGUUGUUUUGACAUGCAUAGUUUUUGACUUUGAAAAAUAUUGAUUGAUCAAAUUUUGUUUAUUGUUUUAUUUCAUUGUCUUGAAUAUGAAAUGCAUGGAUUGUUGAAGAAGGCCUAUGAGCUAUCUGUGCUCUGUGAUGCUAAGUUGCUUUGAUUAUCUUCUCUCAAUAAGGGAGGGUCUAUGAGUUUUCCAGUACGAAAUAUAUUUAUCAUCAUCUUACCCAAUCAAUUUCAGAUAGCACCUAUUCAAUUAGUGUAUGUGUGUGUAAAUUGUGUAUAGUUUAUGUUCACUAUAACUAUUGUAAAUUGUGCAUAGUUUAUGUUCAGUGUGCUCCUACAAACUGCUCUUGGGUACUAAGAUAUAUGCAGUUUUUCCUUAUUGAGCAGCAUGGUUAAAACAUGAUCAUUACAAAAACAAUUCAUGAAGGACAUGGCACCAGUGGGAUUUAUAGGACGCAUUCUCCAGUUGCUACAACUCCAGGAAGCUAGUGAUCUCUCAGUUAAUCAAAUAGAGGCCUAUGCAAGUAUAAAGAAGUGUGUGUACAUUUUAUGGAAUGAAUUUUAGUGAUCUCCGGUUGUGUGUACUAUUUUUAAGGAAUUUCUAGCUCCCUAUAUGUGCAACUAUAUAUGUGAAUGGUGCAACAACAAUUUAUUAAGUUUGUGAUGAAUAAAAAAAACUUGUGGUUUGGUAUGUUA